rnacentral:rRNA from 1 species
UAGGGAAUAUUGGACAAUGGGCGAAAGCCUGAUCCAGCAACGCCGCGUGCGCGAUGAAGGCCUUCGGGUUGUAAAGCGCUUUUCGGGGGGAUGAGGAAGGACAGUACCCCCGGAAUAAGCCACGGCUAACUCUGUGCCAGCAGCCGCGGUAAGACAGAGGUGGCGAGCGUUGUUCGGAAUCACUGGGCUUAAAGGGCGCGUAGGUGGUAGGGUAAGUCCAGGGUGGAAUCCUAUGGCUUAACCAUAGAAUUGCCUUGGAGACUGCUUUACUUGAGUCAGUAAGGGGAGGGCAGAAUUCCUGGUGUAGCGGUGAAAUGCGUAGAUAUCAGGAGGAAGGCCGGUGGCGAAGGCGGCCCUCUGGUACUGGACUGACGCUGAGGCGCGAAAGCGUGGGGAGCGAACAGGAUUAGAUACCCUGGCAGUCCACGCCCUAAACGGUGGGCACUAGGUGUAGGGCUCGUAAGGGUUCUGUGCCGAAGGGAAACCAUUAAGUGCCCCGCCUGGGGACUACGGCCGCAAGGUUG